UUAUUUGUAUUACUAUAGAGAAACUAAAAAUAUUUGGAUAUUAGAAUUUAAAUCAUAUUUUUAUAUUAAAAAAAAAUGUGUGGCUUAAAGGACUUGCGUCAAAUCUCCAAGCGAUAAAUAAAUUAAAAAAAAAGAAGGAUUGCGGACUGCGGUUGCAUUUUGUCACAAAUAUUCAAUAUUGUUUCCCUAAAUAAAAUUGCUUAAUAGGUACCCACAUUGUCAUUAGAUACCUAUACUUAUUAAAUAUUAGUACCUAUCCUUUAUAUAUAUAUCAUGGAAAUAGAAGAGAAUGAAAUAAAAAUAGAAUAUUUUGAUUCAUUAGACGAAGAUCCUCUAAGAGAUUGUGUUAUGAAUACUGUAAGUGUUGUUCAUAACAUAGAAUACGAAAUCAAUAAAAAGGCUAUUCAGAAGUUUGAAGUACUAGCUGAAUACCCAGAGGAUAAUAUUAUAGAAGAAAACUGGUACAAAGAAAUUGACCAUAAUGGAAGAUACAUAUGUAAAUUCUGUGAUUUAAAAUAUUUAACGAUUCAAACAUUAAGAUGUCACAUUAAAAACAAGCAUUUAGAGAAUGUGGUAAAUUUAAGAAUGUCAAUUAAGGCUAAUAAAUGGAAGAAGAGGAUUAAAUGCUAUGUGUGUCAGAAACAGUUUAAAACCUUUGGAGAUCUAAAUACUCAUUCUUCAUCUCAUUCAACAUUAAACAGUGAUAUCAUCAGCUGUCUUCACUGUAAAGCUUCAUUUCGAGAUUUAAAUGAAUUGCUUAUUCAUCAACAGAAUGAACACAGACUGUACAAAAAGCCACACAUUUGCACUUUAUGUGGUUAUCAGACAUCCAAGAGAUCCCAUUACAAACAACAUCAGAAUACUCAUUUAUCAAAAAGGGAGUUAAAGUGUUCAUAUUGUGAUUAUAGCACACACUAUUCACCAAAUUUGAAAGUACAUGAAAGAAUACACACAAAUUUCAAACCAUAUAAAUGUGACUUUCCAGACUGUGAGUAUAUUUGUUCAGCCAAGUCUGCUUUGAAUAGCCACAGUUUAAAACAUGUUCCACAUAACAAUUUGCUGUAUUGUGAUCAGUGUUGCUAUAAAACUAUUUAUAAGCAAUCUUUAAAAAAACAUCAACAUAGUCACUCUAGAAAUAGAAUACUUUUAAAAAUUUAAAUAUGUAAUGAGUUACUACUGUCUGGUUAUAUCUAUGGUUAGAACGUAGAAGUAUGACUGUCCAUGUGUGGUCACUCUAUCUGUUUUUCUUGCUUAGUUGUAAGACUGUGGCUUUACAUUAAAAUGUUGAAUGAUU